GGAAGCAAGAGACGUCGCUUAUGGGACACGCGUCAAAGUCUCCUCCCCUCUCUCAUCUCUCCUCUCCUUCUUCGCCUGUGUGAAGUCUAAAGAAGAAGACCGACGGUUCACGAAUUCUGAUCCUUCGACCUCGUAUCAUCAAUCCUCACGAUUGAUGCCAAGACCUCUGAGUUUGCAUUUGGGUUUCUGGGCUUAAGCUCUCUCUCUCUCUGGGUUACAUCAACCGAGUUUUUUCAUAGAAAUGUUGCUUCUUCCCAGCUGAGAAAACCGGAAUGGUUACAAGUUUCAGUAUAGGGUGACUUUAGAUGUAGGAGUUAGAAAUAUUUAUAAAUUUUUGUAAUAUACUCUCACUCAAUCCAUCUUGUUUCGCCAACCA